rnacentral:rRNA from 1 species
CAUGCAAGUCGAGGGGCAGCGGGAUUGAAGCUUGCUUCAAUUGCCGGCGACCGGCGCACGGGUGAGUAACGCGUAUCCAACCUUCCGCUUACUCGGGGAUAGCCUUUCGAAAGAAAGAUUAAUACCCGAUGGUAUCUUAAGCACGCAUGAGAUUAAGAUUAAAGAUUUAUCGGUAAGCGAUGGGGAUGCGUUCCAUUAGGCAGUUGGCGGGGUAACGGCCCACCAAACCUACGAUGGAUAGGGGUUCUGAGAGGAAGGUCCCCCACAUUGGAACUGAGACACGGUCCAAACUCCUACGGGAGGCAGCAGUGAGGAAUAUUGGUCAAUGGGCGAGAGCCUGAACCAGCCAAGUAGCGUGAAGGAUGACGGCCCUACGGGUCGUAAACUUCUUUUGUGCGGGAAUAAAGGAACCUACGUGUAGGUUUUUGCAUGUACCGUAACGAAUAAGCAUCGGCUAACUCCGUGCCAGCAGCCGCGGUAAUACGGAGGAUGCGAGCGUUAUCCGGAUUUAUUGGGUUUAAAGGGAGCGUAGACGGGUUUUUAAGUCAGCUGUGAAAGUUUGGGGCUCAACCUUAA